UACGUAGGGCGCAAGCGUUGUCCGGAAUUAUUGGGCGUAAAGAGCUCGUAGGCGGUCUGUCGCGUCUGCCGUGAAAACCCGAGGCCUUAACCUCGUGGCUUGCGGUGGAUACGGGCAGACUAGAGGUAGGUAGGGGAGAAUGGAAUUCCCGGUGUAGCGGUGAAAUGCGCAGAUAUCGGGAAGGAACACCGGUGGCGAAGGCGGUUCUCUGGGCCCUU
rnacentral:rRNA from 1 species